AUCAAAGUUGGUUUAGGCACGAGCCCUUAGCUCGGACCAAAAGGGGGCCUAGGUUCGGACCUGGGUUUGAUCC
rnacentral:tRNA from 1 species